rnacentral:rRNA from 1 species
UUCCGGUUGAUCCUGCCAGAGGUCACUGCUAUCGGGGUUCGAUUAAGCCAUGCGAGUCGAGGGGGUUCAGACCCUCGGCGGACUGCUCAGUAACACGUGGAUAAUCUGCCCUAUGGUGGAGGAUAACCCCGGGAAACUGGGGAUAAUACUCCACAAGUCAGGAGUACUGGAAUGUCUCCUAACUGAAAGUUGCGGCGCCAUAGGAUGAAUCUGCGGCCGAUUAGGUAGUUGUUGGGGUAACGGCCCAACAAGCCCGUAAUCGGUACGGGUUGUGGGAGCAAGAGCCCGGAGAUGGAAUCUGAGACACGAUUCCAGGCCCUACGGGGCGCAGCAGGCGCGAAAACUUUACAAUGCAGGAAACUGUGAUAAGGGAACCCCGAGUGCCCGUAAACGCGGGCUGUCCCGGUGUUUAAAACACAUCGGAAGAAAGGGCCGGGCAAGACCGGUGCCAGCCGCCGCGGUAAUACCGGCGGCUCGAGUGGUGACCACUUUUAUUGGGCUUAAAGCGUUCGUAGCUUGAUUUUUAAGUCUCUUGGGAAAUCUCACGGCUUAACUGUGAGGCGUCUAAGAGAUACUGGGAAUCUAGGGACCGGGAGAGGU